UGAGACAACAUAUAUUAUCAUAUUCAAAACAACUUGAUGUUGCAUUUAACUGCUGUUUUCCAUAACCUACUGGACUGCAACAAUCAUCGUUUUUGAGCAACGACUUUAAGUUCCUGUAAGUAUUGUGAUAUAACUGCUGUUUUGCGCAUAUGCUGGACUGCAACAAGCAUUGUUUUGAAAGAAAUGGAACAACAACCAAUCACACUCCUGAAUCAUUUGGAUUUGAACCAAGAUAACUACACUAUCAAGGUUCACAUUGUCCGAUUAUGGUCAAGAGCAUAGUUCAACAAUCCAAGACAGGUCUACUGCUAUGACAUGAUCAUUAUGGACCAAGCUGAUACUAAAAUAUAGGCGUUUGUUUUAGCAAAAAAUGCACGAGAGUAUGAAUAUAUGCUUAAGGAAAACCAGUGUUUGGUUAUUCGUAAUCCAUCGUUGGGGGAAAACCGACAAAAAGUUAAGUACAUUUCGUCGGCAUUGAAGAUUAAUCUCAAUGAUAAUACGGUUGUUACUGCUUGCAACGAGGCUGUUGGCUCUGAGUGGGGAUUUGAGUUUGUUCCGUGUGACAAUUUAGUAGAGAAUCCUGAAGAUGACAGUAAUUCAUUCAAAUCUUCAAUUGACGUAAUUGGUUAUGUUGUUAGAAGCUUUCCUUUUGA
rnacentral:lncRNA from 1 species